rnacentral:lncRNA from 1 species
UUGUUAAAACUUUCCAGCUAACCACGCCUGUCUCCCGCUCUUCUUUCUUAACAAGUACCGAUUUUCGCAAUUUUCCCUUCUUCUCAUAGUUCGUAUCAUUUGGUAACUCUAUAAUUGCCUCAUUAUUCAAAGGUAAGACAUCAGUCUUGUUGUCAUGACUAUCUCUAUCUUUGUUUUUUUCUACUUCUUGUUCCAUUUUUCCUGCAUUUUCCAUUAGUUUCUGAAAUAGAGGCCCGCAUUUUGACAACUCCUCAAACGUUCCUUGCUCCUUAAUCAUGCCUUCACCAACAAGAAUAAUUCUGUCCACCUGAGGGAGAAAAUGAAGCUGGUUGGUGACAAGAACCCUGGUUUUUCCAUGCAGCCCUUCCUUUAUACAGUUCUUGAAAACCUAUAAGGACGUUGCAAAUCAGAUUAUAUGAACUAUGAUCAUCGAUACUUUCAAAAUAUUUAAAUAAUCAACAAUUAAUAGUGACAUCAACAAUUCCAAUAUUUUAUACUGCAGGAGAAAGAAAAGCCUGAUAAAGUACACGAGCUGGCUAUGAGAAUCACUUUGAUUUAACUCUUGCUCAUUUGAUAUGGACAAUUUACAUCAAUGAAGGUUAUAAAAUAUAUGGAAACAACCUUUGAAAUUAAACGUAAGUACAUUAGUCUCGAAAGAUGGUGGGGAUGGUGGGGUUCUACUUUGGACCCCCUUGGUAUGUGGUCCACAGGGGACUAGUAGUUAAAAAUCACUCAAAACUCUAAAGGCGAUCAAUGACGAUAGUAGAAGUUCACGGUCCUCCGAUGAGAUGGUAACUUGAUCGGUGUCAGUUCAACAAAAACAAGGAAAAAAGAAUGAGUUGAGUUUUGAGGCAUACAAAUUCGCUUUUCCUUUUUUUUUUUUGAUAAAUCGUCACCGAUCAAAUUAUUGUCUCAACCAUGAAGAUGAAAUCACUGUAAACGCCUACUUCCAAAAGGAGACUUAUAAUGUUGUUGAAGUUUCGAAUGAUUUGCAUGUGCUGGUCUACACUGAACCACUUGUCACAUGACAUUUAGCUUACAAAUGGUAGUUAUAUCAUAAAAAGGAUAUGUGUUUUAGAGCUUGAUAAGAAUAAUACCUCUUGAGCAAUAUGAGCAUCAAGAGCACUUAAAGGAUCAUCAAAUAUAUAUACAUCUGAAUUUGAGUAUACAGCCCUAGCUAAAGAAACUCUUUGCUUUUGUCCACCACUAAUAUUCACUCCUCUUUCUCCGAUCUCCGUAAAAUCACGUCCCUGAAAAGAUAUAAAUGAGAUAAAUAAAUAAUAAAAAAACUUUUGUAUUAAUUCUGAAAAACUAUAGAGAAGAUGAAAUUUUAAAAACAAUCUUACAGGAGGUAAAAAACUUUCAUUUUGUUUUUUAGGGAAAAUUGUAAUAAGGUCAUGGCAAUCUUACCUUGUUAAAACUUUCCAGCUAACCACGCCUGUCUCCCGCUCUUCUUUCUUAACAAGUACCGAUUUUCGCAAUUUUCCCUUCUUCUCAUAGUUCGUAUCAUUUGGUAACUCUAUAAUUGCCUCAUUAUUCAAAGGUAAGACAUCAGUCUUGUUGUCAUGACUAUCUCUAUCUUUGUUUUUUUCUACUUCUUGUUCCAUUUUUCCUGCAUUUUCCAUUAGUUUCUGAAAUAGAGGCCCGCAUUUUGACAACUCCUCAAACGUUCCUUGCUCCUUAAUCAUGCCUUCACCAACAAGAAUAAUUCUGUCCACCUGAGGGAGAAAAUGAAGCUGGUUG